GAAGCAGAAGUUUUCGGACGGAAGCGGAACGAUAUGUUCUAGCGGCGGACGGGUGAGUAACGCGUGAGCAACCUGUCCCUUACAGGGGGAUAACACAGCGAAAGUUGUACUAAUACCGCAUAAGACCACAGAGUCACAUGGCUUAGGGGUCAAAGGAGCAAUCCGGUAAGGGGUGGGCUCGCGUCCGAUUAGAUAGUUGGUGAGGUAACGGCCCACCAAGUCGACGAUCGGUAGCCGACCUGAGAGGGUGAUCGGCCACAUUGGGACUGAGACACGGCCCAAACUCCUACGGGAGGCAGCAGUGGGGAAUAUUGGGCAAUGGGGGAAACCCUGACCCAGCAACGCCGCGUGAGGGAAGAAGGUUUUCGGAUCGUAAACCUCUGUCCUAGGUGAAGAGAAAGAGACGGUAGCCUAGGAGGAAGCCCCGGCUAACUACGUGCCAGCAGCCCCGGUAAUACGUAGGGGGCGAGCGUUGUCCGGAAUGAUUGGGCGUAAAGGGCGCGUAGGCGGCCCGGUAAGUCUGAAGUGAAAGUCCUGCGUUCAACGUGGGAAUUGCUUUGGAUACUGUCGGGCUUGAGUGCAGGAGAGGUAAGUGGAAUUCCCAGUGUAGCGGUGAAAUGCGUAGAGAUUGGGAGGAACACCAGUGGCGAAGGCGACUUACUGGACUGUAACUGACGCUGAGGCGCGAAAGUGUGGGGAGCAAACAGGAUUAGAUACCCUGGUAGUCCACACUGUAAACGAUGAAUGCUAGGUGUAGGGGGUAUCGACCCCUUCUGUGCCGCAGUUAACACAAUAAGCAUUCCGCCUGGGGAGUACGGCCGCAAGGUUGAAACUCAAAGGAAUUGACGGGGGCCCGCACAAGCAGCGGAGCAUGUGGUUUAAUUCGACGCAACGCGAAGAACCUUACCAGGUCUUGACAUCCAGUUAAA
rnacentral:rRNA from 1 species